UACGUAGGGGGCAAGCGUUGUCCGGAUUUAUUGGGCGUAAAGAGCGUGUAGGCGGCCACACAGGUCAGCUGUGAAAACUCGAGGCUCAACCUCGAGACGUCGGUUGAAACCGUAUGGCUAGAGUCCGGAAGAGGAGAGUGGAAUUCCUGGUGUAGCGGUGAAAUGCGCAGAUAUCGGGAAGAACACCUAUGGCGAAGGCAGCUCUCUGGGACGGUACUGACGCUGAGACGCGAAAGCGUGGGGAGCGAACAGG
rnacentral:rRNA from 1 species